GUGACCAUUAUGUUCUAGGCUGAACCUUGAUCAAGUCCCAGACGGAACACCAGGGAGAAGAUUAGAGUCCAGUAGAAGACCAUGGUGGCUGUCAUAAUGGCAUCCUGGCAGGACCAGCAACAGAAACUCUGUUGAGGGCCUGGCACUGUUGAGUACCUAAACUGGAAAGUCACAUGGAGUCCAGAGACUCAGCCUGCUGGGUAGCUGGAAGUCAGACCAGAGAGAAGCAGAUG